CCAGCCCCUCGGAAUCCGGAACCCAUUCGCUGCACCUGGAAAAGUGUAGCAAAGCAAUUCAGGACUUUCUGAGGGUGGUGCUGGGGGGAUGCGAGUGGGGUUAGAACUGCAAACAGGGCUCCAAAAAUUCAUCCGAGUCGGUCUUGAUGCUUAAGACCUGCCCGGCUGUCUGUAGGGUUCUUCUGAGAGGCUGCCGGACAAAGGAAGCUUUAGAUAUGUGAGAGUUUUAAUAGUAGCAGUGAUCUGUUCCUAGAUUUUUCAUUAAAAAAUAAACACAUCCUGAAACUUCUUUUUUUACACCACUUCGUUUUGUUGAUUGGCAGGCGAAGUCUAGAUUUCCCCCAGUCACCCAGGUGUGUGUUUUUUUUUUAUCAAGUGACUUAUUUCCAAAAUUCAACCCUUUAACCCAGCUAGUGCCUCCCGAUUUGAGUCUGGAUCUGUUUUGAAUAAUGCCUGCUGACCUAUUUUAGUGUCCGUUAGGAGAAAGAAUUUGUAUUUCCUUCAGCUGAGAUCAAUCAGAUGCCACAUCCUAACCCAACCAGCAAAUGUAAACAGCGGUCUGAUGCUGCAGUGUUUCCUAGGGGGUGUGUGGGUGUGGGUAUGGGUGCCCUGGCAAUGACUUUAUGACCUUGGGCCUGUCACUUCCCUUAACUCAGAUCUUGGUGGACGAUUCAGUUUAAAAAUCCAAGCUUUAUUUGUUUAUUUGUUUUAAAGUUUAUUUUGAUGCUCGUAUACUGGGAUCAGAUAUGGAAAUUUGCUCAGGACACAUUGACCUGAAUGUGUUUUCUCCAUUGAAGAAAUGAAUCUGUGUCUUUUGUUGGCUUCUUGAAAAAAUAAACAUUGCUUUGGAUGAACUGAA